GACGAACGCUGGCGGCGCGCUUAACACAUGCAAGUCGAGCGAGGACCAGGACUUCGGUCCUGGGGACAGCGGCGAACGGGUGAGUAACACGUGGAUAACCUGCCCUCGGCACCGGGAUAGCCCGAGGAAACUCGGAUUAAUACCGGAUAGCCCUUCCGACUCUCGAGUCGGUCCGAAAAGGUAGCUUCGGCCUCUGGCCGAGGAUGGGUCCGCGGCGGAUUAGCUUGUUGGUGGGGUAACGCCUACCAAGGCAUCGAUCCGUAGCUGGUCUGAGAGGACGAUCAGCCACACUGGGACUGAGACACGGCCCAGACUCCUACGGGAGGCAGCAGUGGGGAAUCUUGCGCAAUGGGCGAAAGCCUGACGCAGCGACGCCGCGUGAGGGAAGAAGGCCUGGUGUAAC
rnacentral:rRNA from 1 species